AUACGUAGGGGGCGAGCGUUGUCCGGAAUGACUGGGCGUAAAGGGCGCGUAGACGGCUGUCUAAGUCUGGAGUGAAAGUCAUGUUUUCAAGGCGGGAAUUGCUUUGGAGACUGGAUGGCUUGAGUGCGGAAGAGGUAAGUGGAAUUCCCAGUGUAGCGGUGAGAUGCGUAGAGAUUGGGAGGAACACCAGUGGCGAAGGCGACUUACUGGGCCGUAACUGACGUUGAAGCGCGAAAGCGUGGGGAGCGAACAGGAUUAGAUACCCUGGUAGUCCACGCGGUAAACGAUGAGUGCUAGGUGUAGCGGGUAUCGACCCCUGCUGUGCCGGAGUCAACACAAUAAGCACUCCGCCUGGGGAGUACGGCCGCAAGGUUGAA
rnacentral:rRNA from 1 species